UGAUUCUGGCGUAUCAUUUUUUUAAGGUGAUAAUCACGACUAUGAAACAAUCGCUGACUUGGAAGAGACUGCAAAUCGUGAAAAUGAAGCAGAUAAAGCUCACGAAGGCACAUACUCUCUUAUUGAGCUUAAAAAUUCCAGAAAGAACACAAGGAAGCAUCAUAAACCACAUGAGAGUGCUCUUUCCACUGAUGUGAACAUGGAAAAUGCAGGUCAGUGAAGACAGCUACAGCAGCAAAACCAAAGAGAAGCUGUAAUCAUACUAUAAUGUUUAGAGCAUAUGCAUGCUGUAUAUGUUCCCUAUAUCCUCUGAGUGAGACACGCUUGAUAAAACUUUCAAUAAGCAUUGAAUAGGGCACUGUGAGUGGCCCAUGCAUAUGUAAAUAUUUGCACAAGUCUCAGAAUCGUAUAUAAUUGUAUAUUUGACAGCUCGACUGGAAUAAUGGUAUAUCAGCUUAGAGUGGUGUGUCUAAUUUAAUGUAUUUUAGCAUCAUAUUAUAGCAUAUAUCAUAGCAUCUCAUAUAUGGUAGCAUAUACAGAUUUGUAUUCCCUGUCUCCCAUGCUAACUGCAGCGUGCAGGGAUUUGCUUGUAUGUAAUGAUAUAGACACAAUACUCUGUUUUGUUGUUGUUUUGAGGGAUUUUUUGUAUUAUCUGGUUUAACUGACAACACAGCUUUAAAUAAAGGUUUUGCCAUGUUACAUUAGGAUAGCAAUAUUUGUACUGCAUAAUGUAUUAUACAUUAUUUUGAAAUAAAUAAAUAAAUGUUGUGACUGAUGCUGUAUUGACUUGAAUGUAAACUGUAACAGUCAAACCUAAUAACACUGAGCUUUAUAAAUAUGAUACAUCAUCAAGUGUAACAGCCAUUUGAUCACUAGGGGGCAGUGCAGGAAGCACAGCUGUAUUUCACUAAUAACUGUUGAUCGUGAUAUUUCCAAAUCGAUUGUGCUCUACUGAACUGCUUACAUACUUUUUAUUGCUGCUUUCAGAUUUUCUUGGAUGUCAAAAAUGUAGCAUAGAUCCUGUGAGAAACUAUUAACUAUAGCAUGGUACAUUUAACACUUAUCUUGUUGCAACUGAAUAUGCAUAAAAAGGACAUUGAUGAUGUAACCAAACAAGAAGUGCAAAUGUUGAAACU